GAUUAACGCUAGCGGCAGGCAUAAUACAUGCAAGUUGAACGAGAUAAGUUUUAGCAAUAGAACUUUGAAAGUGGCGCACGGGUGCGUAACACGUAUGCAACCUACCUUUACUGGGGAAUAGCCUCUCGAAAGAGAGAUUAAUACCCCAUAAUAUAUUGAUAAGGCAUCUUAUUAAUAUUAAAGUUACGGCGGUAAAAGAUGGGCAUGCGGCUGAGUAGGUAGUUGGUGAGGUAAUGGCUCACCAAGCCGACGAUCAGUAGGGGGUCUGAGAGGAUGUCCCCCCACACUGGUACUGAGACACGGACCAGACUCCUACGGGAGGCAGCAGUAGGAAAUAUUGGACAAUGGGCGCAAGCCUGAUCCAGCCAUGCCGCGUGCAGGAUGAAGGCCCUAUGGGUCGUAAACUGCUUUUGUACGGGAAGAAACCUCACUACGUGUAGUGAGUUGACGGUACCGUGAGAAUAAGGAUCGGCUAACUUCGUGCCAGCCGCCGCGGUAA
rnacentral:rRNA from 1 species